AUUGAACGCUGGCGGCAGGCCUAACACAUGCAAGUCGAGCGAGCGGCGGACGGGUGAGUAAUGUAUGGGGACUGCCGGAUAGAGGCGGAUAACUACUGGAAGAGGUAGCUAAUCCCGCAUAAUAUAGGCUCACCCUUAUGGGAUUAGCUGGUAGGUGAGUUAAUGGCUCACAUAGGCGACGAAUCCUAGCUGGUCUGAGAGGAUGAUCAGCCACACUGGGACUGAUACACGUCCCAGACUCCUACGGAGGCAGCAGUGGGGAAUCUUGCACAAUGGGCGAAAGCCUGAUGCAGCCAUGCCGCGUGUAUGAAGAAGGCCUUAGGUUUGUAAAGUACUGUCAGUAGGGAGGCGUUACCGAAAGAAAAAGCACCGGCUAACUCCGUGCCAGCCGCCGCGGUAAUUC
rnacentral:rRNA from 1 species